GAUGAACGCUGGCGGCGUGCCUAAUACAUGCAAGUCGAGCGAACAGACGAGGAGCUUGCUCCUCUGACGUUAGCGGCGGACGGGUGAGUAACACGUGGAUAACCUACCUAUAAGACUGGGAUAACUUCGGGAAACCGGAGCUAAUACCGGAUAAUAUAUUGAACCGCAUGGUUCAAUAGUGAAAGACGGUUUUGCUGUCACUUAUAGAUGGAUCCGCGCCGCAUUAGCUAGUUGGUAAGGUAACGGCGUACCAAGGCAACGAUGCGUAGCCGACCUGAGAGGGUGAACGGCGGCAGUAGACGUGAGGCGCGGAGGAGAAAGCAAGAGGAGGCAGGAGCAGGGAAGAUUAAGGAAAGGGUGAACGCUGGAAGGAGCUGUGGUAGGGGAAUAGUGAAGGUAUAAGGAAGGUAAAAGGGUGUUAUUAUAGGCGAACAAAAGGGUAAGUAAGUAUGCGCGUCUGGAGGGAAACUGAUCAGGAGGCAACGACACCGUAGAGG
rnacentral:rRNA from 1 species